rnacentral:rRNA from 1 species
CGGUAAUUCCAGCUCCAAUAGCGUAUACUAAAGUUGUUGCAGUUAAAAAGCUCGUAGUUGGAUUUCUGCGGGGACGGAGCGGCCGGUCGCAAUUUGCGACUCGAGCUAGCGCUUUCCCCGCAUCCUGCCGCGAACCGUGCUACCAUUAGUUUGGUGGCGCUGGGGAUCGGCUCGAUUACUUUGAGAAAAAUAGAGUGUUCAAAGCAGGCCACACGCCUUGAAUAAGUUAGCAUGGAAUAAUGACUAAGGACUUUGGUUCUUUUCGUUGGUGUUCGGGACUGAAGUAAUGAUUGAUAGGGACAGUUGGGGCGGCCCGUAUUCCAAAGCGAGAGGUGAAAUUCUUAGACCUUCGGAAGACGAACAGCUGCGAAAGCGUUCCGCAAGGAUGUUCCCUUUGAUCAAGAACGAAAGUUGGGGGAUCGAAGACGAUCAGAUACCGUCGUAGUCUCAACUAUAAACUAUACCAGCUAGGGAUCGGCCAACGUUUAAUUUAUCGACUUGGUCGGCACCUUAUGAGAAAUCAAAGCAUCUGGGUUCCGGGGGGAGUAUGGUCGCAAGGCUGAAACUUAAAGGAAUUGACGGAAGGGCACCACCAGCCGUGGAGCCUGAGGCUUAAUUUGACUCAACACGGGAAAACUUACCAGGUCCAGACAUAGGAAGGAUUGACAGAUUGAUAGCUCUUUCUUGAUUCUGUGGGUGGUGGUGCAUGGCCGUUUUUAGUCGGUGGAUGUGAUCUGUCUGCUUAAUUGCGUUAACGGACGAGACCCCAGCCUGCUAAAUAGCGCGGCCGAGCUUUGCUCGGUGCGAGCUUCUUAGAGGGACCAUGAUGCGCGAUAGCACAAGGAAGUUUGGGGCAACAACAGGUCUGUGAUGCCCUUAGAUGUUCUGGGCCGCACACGGGCUACACUGGCGCCUGCAACGAGCAUAUCAGCUGGCCCGAGAGGGUCUUGGCUAAUCUUUGGAACCGGCGCCGUGCUUGGGAUUGACCAUUGCAAUUGUUGGUCAUGCAACGAGGAAUGCCUUGUAAACGCGAGUCAUCAGCUCGCAUUGAAUACGUCCCUGCCCUUUGUACACACCGCCCGUCGCUCCUACCGAUGAAUGUUCCGAUGAAAUUUUCGGAGAGCACCAGAGAACGGGGCUCCGCCUUGCAGAUCUGGAGGCUCAAAGUCACUUAAAUCUGAACAUUUCGAGGAAGGAGAAGUCGUAACAAGGUAACC